rnacentral:rRNA from 1 species
GAUGAACGCUGGCGGUAUGCCUAACACAUGCAAGUCGAACGGUCACAUCGGUGAUAGUGGCGGACGGGUGUGUAACGCGUGAGAAUCUGUCUUCAUGUCGGGCACAACUGUUAGAAAUGACUGCUAUUACCGGAUCUGCCCUUGGGCGAAAGAUUUAUUUCCUGCAAAAGAGCCCGCGUCAGAUUAGCUAGUAGGUGGUGUAAGAGGAUACAUAGGCUCCGCUCUGUAGCUUGUCUGAGAGGACGAUCAGUCACACUGGAGGUGAGACACGGUCCAGAAUCCUACGGGAGGGAGCAAUGGGUGAUGGAGCGCAAUGGGCGAAGGCCUGACGGAGCAAUACCGCGUGAGGGACGAAGGCUUGGGAGACGUAAACCUCUUGUAUCUAGGAAGAUGAUGACGGUACUUGAGGAAUAAGCAUCGGCUAACUCUGUG